rnacentral:rRNA from 1 species
CAGUACCGCGGGAAUACGGAGGAUCCAAGCGUUAUCCGGAAUCAUUGGGUUUAAAGGGUCCGUAGGCGGUCUUGUAAGUCAGUGGUGAAAGCCCAUCGCUCAACGGUGGAACGGCCAUUGAUACUGCAGGACUUGAAUUAUUGGGAAGUAACUAGAAUAUGUAGUGUAGCGGUGAAAUGCUUAGAGAUUACAUGGAAUACCAAUUGCGAAGGCAGGUUACUACCAAUUGAUUGACGCUGAUGGACGAAAGCGUGGGUAGCGAACAGGAUUAGAUACCCCCGUAGUCCCUGUCUCUUAUACC